CCAACCUUCGCAUGGGGUGUUGGUGGAAAGAUUUAUCGGUGGUGGAUGGACUCGCGUCCUAUCAGCUUGUUGGUGGGGUAAUGGCCUACCAAGGCGACGACGGGUAGCCGGCCUGAGAGGGCGACCGGCCACACUGGGACUGAGACACGGCCCAGACUCCUACGGGAGGCAGCAGUGGGGAAUAUUGCACAAUGGGCGAAAGCCUGAUGCAGCGACGCCGCGUGAGGGAUGACGGCCUUCGGGUUGUAAACCUCUUUCAGCAGGGAAGAAGCUUUUGUGACGGUACCUGCAGAAGAAGCACCGGCUAACUACGUGCCAGCAGCCGCGGUAAUACGUAGGGUGCGAGCGUUGUCCGGAAUUAUUGGGCGUAAAGAGCUUGUAGGCGGUUUGUCGCGUCUGCUGUGAAAAUCUAGGGCUUAACCCUGGACGUGCAGUGGGUACGGGCAGACUAGAGUAUGGUAGGGGAGACUGGAAUUCCUGGUGUAGCGGUGGAAUGCGCAGAUAUCAGGAGGAACACCGAUGGCGAAGGCAGGUCUCUGGGCCAUUACUGACGCUGAGAAGCGAAAGCAUGGGGAGCGAACAGGAUUAGAUACCCUGGUAGUCCAUGCCGUAAACGUUGGGCGCUAGGCGUGGGUCUCAUUCCACGAGAUCCGUGUCGCAGCUAACGCAUUAAGCGCCCCGCCUGGGGAGUACGGCCGCAAGGCUAAAACUCAAAGGAAUUGACGGGGGGCCCGCACAAGCGGCGGAGCAUGCUGAUUAAUUCGAUGCAACGCGAAGAACCUUACCAAGGCUUGACAUGCACCGGAUCGCCUCAGAGAUGGGGUUUCCCUUUGGGCUGGUGCACAGGUGGUGCAUGGUUGUCGUCACUCGUGUCGUGAGAUGUUGGGUUAAGUCCCGCAACGAGCGCAACCCUCGUUCUAUGUUGCCAGCACGUAAUGGGUGGGGACUCAUAGGAGACUGCCGGGGUCAACUCGGAGGAAAGGGGGGAUGACGUCAAAUCAUCAUGCCCCUUAUGUCUUGGGCUUCAAGCAUGCUACAAUGGCUGGUACAGAGGGUUGGGAAACCGUGAGGUGGAGCGAAUCCCAAAAAACCGGUCUCAGUUCGGAUUGGGGUCUGCAACUCGACCCCAUGAAGUCGGAGUCGCUAGUAAUCGCAGAUCAGCAACGCUGCGGUGAAUACGUUCCCGGGCCUUGUACACACCGCCCGUCAAGUCACGAAAGUCGGUAACCCCCGAAGCCGGUGGCCUAACCCUUGUGGGAGGAGC
rnacentral:rRNA from 1 species